ACAACAGUUGGAAACGACUGCUAAUACCCUAUGAGCCCUAUGGGGGAAAGAUUUAUCGCCAUGAGAUGUGCCCGCGUUAGAUUAGCUAGUUGGUAAGGUAAUGGCUUACCAAGGCGACGAUCUAUAGCUGGUCUGAGAGGAUGAUCAGCCACACUGGGACUGAGACACGGCCCAGACUCCUACGGGAGGCAGCAGUGGGGAAUAUUGGACAAUGGGGGCAACCCUGAUCCAGCCAUGCCGCGUGUGUGAUGACGGCCUUAGGGUUGUAAAGCACUUUCAGCAGUGAAGAUAAUGACAUUAACUGCAGAAGAAGCCCCGGCUAACUUCGUGCCAGCAGCCGCGGUAAUACGAAGGGGGCUAGCGUUGUUCGGAAUCACUGGGCGUAAAGCGUACGUAGGCGGACUGAUCAGUCAGGGGUGAAAUCCCGGGGCUCAACCCCGGAACUGCCUUUGAUACUGUCAGUCUUGAGAUCGAGAGAGGUGAGUGGAACUCCGAGUGUAGAGGUGAAAUUCGUAGAUAUUCGGAAGAACACCAGUGGCGUAAGGCGGCUCACUGGCUCGAUACUGACGCUGAGGUACGAAAGCGUGGGGAGCUACAUGGAUUAGAUACUCCUGGUAGUCCACGCCGUAAACGAUGAAUGCUAGUUGUCAGGUAGCUUGCUAUUUGGUGACGCAGCUAACGCAUUAAGCAUUCCGCCUGGGGAGUACGGUCGCAAGAUUAAAACGCAAAGGAAGUGACGGGGGCCCGCACAAGCGGUGGAGCAUGUGGUGUAAUGCGAAGCAACGCGCAGAACCUUACCAGCCCUUGACAUUGGGCGGCUACAA
rnacentral:rRNA from 1 species